CGAACAGGAUUAGAUACCCUGGUAGUCCACGCCGUAAACGAUGAGUGCUAAGUGUUAGGGGGUUUCCGCCCCUUAGUGCUGCAGCUAACGCAUUAAGCACUCCGCCUGGGGAGUACGGUCGCAAGACUGAAACUCAAAGGAAUUGACGGGGGCCCGCACAAGCGGUGGAGCAUGUGGUUUAAUUUGAAGCAACGCGAAGAACCUUACCAGGUCUUGACAUCCUCUGACAAUCCUAGAGAUAGGACGUCCCCUUCGGGGGCAGAGUGACAGGUGGUGCAUGGUUGUCGUCAGCUCGUGUCGUGAGAUGUUGGGUUAAGUCCCGCAACGAGCGCAACCCUUGAUCUUAGUUGCCAGCAUUCAGUUGGGCACUCUAAGGUGACUGCCGGUGACAAACCGGAGGAAGGUGGGGAUGACGUCAAAUCAUCAUGCCCCUUAUGACCUGGGCUACACACGUGCUACAAUGGGCAGAACAAAGGGCAGCGAAACCGCGAGGUUAAGCCAAUCCCACAAAUCUGUUCUCAGUUCGGAUCGCAGUCUGCAACUCGACUGCGUGAAGCUGGAAUCGCUAGUAAUCGCGGAUCAGCAUGCCGCGGUGAAUACGUUCCCGGGCCUUGUACACACC
rnacentral:rRNA from 1 species